GUCUUUUUGAGUAUAAUUUAAAGUCUAAUCUGCCCAAUGAGUAUUUAAAUGGCUGCGGUAUUUUGACCGUACAAAGGUAGCAUAAUCAUUAGUUUUUUAAUUGAAAGCUAGAAUGAAGGAUUGAACGAGAAAAUUACUGUCUCAAUUUAAUUUAUUUAGAAUUUUAUUUUUAAGUUAAAAAGCUUAAAUAUUUUUUAAAGACGAGAAGACCCUAUAGAGUUUUAUAUUUUUAUAAAUUUUAAUUUUAUUAAUUUUAUUAAUUUUUAAAAAUAUUUUAUUGGGGUGAUAAUUAAAUUUAAGUAACUUUAAUUUUUAAAAACAUAAAUUUAUGAAUCAAUGAUCCAUUAAUAAUGAUUAAAAGAUUAAAUUACCUUAGGGAUAACAGCGUAAUUUUUUUUGAGAGUUCUUAUCGAAAAAAAAGAUUGCGACCUCGAUGUUGGAUUAAAAUUAAAUUUUGGUGUAGAAGCUAAAACUUUAAGUCUGUUCGACUUUUAAAAUUUUACAUGAUCUGAGUUUAAACCGGUGUGAGCCAGGUUGGUUUCUAUCUUAAAAUAAUUUAAAUAUUUUAGUACGAAAGGACCAAAUAUUUAUAAUAAUUAUUAAUUUUUGAAUAU
rnacentral:rRNA from 1 species